AUUGAACGCUGGCGGCAGGCCUAACACAUGCAAGUCGAGCGGAGCGGGGGACGGGUGAGUAAUGCCUAGGAAUCAGCCUGGUAGUGGGGGAUAACGUCCGGAAACGGGAGCUAAUACCGCAUACUAUCAGAUGAGGCUAGGUCGGAUUAGCUCGUUGGUGGGGUAACGGCUUACCAAGGCGACGAUCCGUAACUGGUCUGAGAGGAUGAUACGUCACACUGGAACUGAGAAACGGUCCAGACUCCUACGGGAGGCAGCAGUGGGGAAUAUUCGACAAUGGGCGAAAGCCUGAUCCAGCCAUGCCGCGUGUGUGAAGAAGGUCUUCGGAUUGUAAAGCACUUUAAGUUGGGAGGCGUUACCAACAGAAUAAGCACCGGCUAACUUCGUGCCAGCAGCCGCGGUAAGAC
rnacentral:rRNA from 1 species